GUGCCAGCCGCCGCGGUAAUACGGAGGGUGCAAGCGUUAUCCGGAUUUACUGGGUUUAAAGGGUGCGUAGGUGGGUUGGUAAGUCAGUGGUGAAAUACUUUCGCUUAACGAAGGAACUGCCAUUGAUACUACCAGUCUUGAAUACAGUGGAGGUAGGCGGAAUGCGUCAUGUAGCGGUGAAAUGCUUAGAUAUGACGCAGAACACCAAUUGCGAAGGCAGCUUGCUACACUGUUAUUGACACUGAGGCACGAAAGCGUGGGGAUCAAACAGGAUUAGAUACCCUGGUAGUCCACGCCCUAAACGAUGAUUACUCGAUCUCAGCGAUACACUGUUGGGGUCUAUGUGAAAGCAUUAAGUAAUCCACCUGGGGAGUACGAUCGCAAGAUUGAA
rnacentral:rRNA from 1 species